UACGAAGGGUGCAAGCGUUACUCGGAAUUACUGGGCGUAAAGCGUGCGUAGGUGGUGAGUUAAGACAGUUGUGAAAUCCCCGGGCUUAACUUGGGAAUUGCGCUCGAAACUACUUGGCUCGAGUGUGGCAGAGGAAGGUGGAAUUCCAGGUGUAGCGGUGAAAUGCGUAGAGAUCUGGAGGAACACCGAUGGCGAAGGCAGCCUUCUGGGCCAACACUGACGCUCAUGCACGAAAGCGUGGGGAGCAAACAGG
rnacentral:rRNA from 1 species